AUUGAACGCUGGCGGCAUGCCUUACACAUGCAAGUCGAACUGCAGCACGGGUGCUUGCACCUGGUGGCGAGUGGCGAACGGGUGAGUAAUACAUCGGAACGUACCUUAUCGUGGGGGAUAACGCAGCGAAAGUUGCGCUAAUACCGCAUACGCCCUGAGGGGGAAAGCGGGGGACCGUAAGGCCUCGCGCGAUUAGAGCGGCCGAUGUCUGAUCAGCUUGUUGGUGAGGUAAAAGCUCACCAAGGCGAUGAUCAGUAGCUGGUCUGAGAGGACGAUCAUCCACACUGGGACUGAGACACGGCCCAGACUCCUCCGGGAGGCAGCAGUGGGGAAUUUUGGACAAUGGGGCAACCCUGAUCCAGCAAUGCCGCGUGAGUGAAGAAGGCCUUCGGGUUGUAAAGCUCUUUUGUCAGGGAAGAAACAGCAGCUCUAACACAGUCUGCGAAUGACGGUACCUGAAGAAUAAGCACCGGCUAACUACGUGCCAGCCGCCGCGGUAA
rnacentral:rRNA from 1 species